GCUCGUAGUUGGAUUUUGGGCGCAGGCGGCCGGUCCGUCGCAAGGCGUGUACUGGCCGUCCUGGCCUCACCUCCGGUUCUCCGCCGGUGCCCUUGACUGAGUGUCGGCGGCGGCCGGAACGUUUACUUUGAAAAAAUUAGAGUGUUCAAAGCAGGCGAUUCGCCUGAAUAAUGGUGCAUGGAAUAAUGGAAUAGGACCUCGGUUCUAUUUUGUUGGUUUUCGGAGCGCGAGGUAAUGAUUAAGAGGGACAGACGGGGGCAUUCGUACUGUGCCGUUAGAGGUGAAAUUCUUGGAUCGGCGCAAGACGAACGACUGCGAAAGCAUUUGCCAAGAAUGUUUUCUUUAAUCAAGAGCGAAAGUCAGAGGUUCGAAGACGAUCAGAUACCGUCCUAGUUCUGACUAUAAACGAUGCCAACUAGCGAUCGGGGGGCGUUAGUUUUACGACCUCUCCGGCAGCUUGCGGGAAACCAAAGUCUUUGGGUUCCGGGGGAAGUAUGGUUGCAAAGCUGAAACUUAAAGGAAUUGACGGAAGGGCACCACCAGGAGUGGAGCCUGCGGCUUAAUUUGACUCAACACGGGAAAUCUCACCCGGCCCGGACACAGUGAGGAUUGACAGAUUGAGAGCUCUUUCUUGAUUCUGUGGGUGGUGGUGCAUGGCCGUUCUUAGUUGGUGGAGCGAUUUGUCUGGUUAAUUCCGAUAACGAACGAGACUCUGGCUUGCUAACUAGUUACGCGACCCAAUCGGUCGGCGUCUAACUUCUUAGAGGGACUAGUGGCGUUUAGCCACACGAGAUUGAGCAAUAACAGGUCUGUGAUGCCCUUAGAUGUUCGGGGCCGCACGCGCGCUACACUGACCGGAUCAGCAUGUGCUCGCCUUGGCCGACAGGUCUGGGUAACCCGCUGAACCCCGGUCGUGCUAGGGAUAGGGAAUUGCAAUUAUUUCCCUUGAACGAGGAAUUCCCA
rnacentral:rRNA from 1 species